GAACAGACGCCGAACGGACAGAGCUUCCCCUGUCCGCCCAAGGCUCAACAACAAGUACAAAUAGGGUAUAAAAUUUGCACAUGCGGAAGCAUACAUAAUGGCUUGCACGAGGGCAAAGUGAAAGAACUAACUACUCAACAUACAAGUACUAUGAUUAACUUUAAAUCAUAUACAUGCAUACUACUUUAACCAAAUUCUUUUACAUUCUUUUCAUCAUAUCUUUUUACAUCUCAUUUCUCCAAAAUAUAACUUUUGAUAUUUAAAGUAAAUAUCCUUUACAUCAUUCUCUUAAACAUCUAGAAUCAUCAAAUACAAAA
rnacentral:lncRNA from 1 species